CAGAGCCGCGGUAAUACAGAGGUCCCAAGCGUUGUUCGGAAUCACUGGGCGUAAAGGGUGCGUAGGCGGCGCGGAAAGUCAGGGGUGAAAUCCCGGAGCUCAACUCCGGAACUGCCUUUGAUACUCCCGCGCUUGAGAACUGGAGGGGAGACCGGAAUUCACGGUGGAGCAGUGAAAUGCGUGGAUAUCGUGAGGAACACUAGUGGCGAAGGCGGGUCUCUGGACAGUAUCUGACGCUGAGGCACGAAGGCCAGGGGAGCGAACGGGAUUAGAGACCCCAGUAGUCCCUGUCUCUUAUACA
rnacentral:rRNA from 1 species